UGGGGAAUAUUGGACAAUGGGGGGAACCCUGAUCCAGCCAUGCCGCGUGUGUGAAGAAGGCCUUUUGGUUGUAAAGCACUUUAAGCGAGGAGGAGGCUACUAGUACUAAUACUACUGGAUAGUGGACGUUACUCGCAGAAUAAGCACCGGCUAACUCUGUGCCAGCAGCCGCGGUAAUACAGAGGGUGCGAGCGUUAAUCGGAUUUACUGGGCGUAAAGCGUGCGUAGGCGGCUGAUUAAGUCGGAUGUGAAAUCCCCGAGCUUAACUUGGGAAUUGCAUUCGAUACUGGUUAGCUAGAGUGUGGGAGAGGAUGGUAGAAUUCCAGGUGUAGCGGUGAAAUGCGUAGAGAUCUGGAGGAAUACCGAUGGCGAAGGCAGCCAUCUGGCCUAACACUGACGCUGAGGUACGAAAGCAUGGGGAGCAAACAGG
rnacentral:rRNA from 1 species